UGUACACAUGAUGUCCAAUUUCUUGCUCAGACAAAUAAUUACUUAAUGGAGGGUUUAUCGAGGGUUCUUGUCUUCGCCUCGUUACCAUCCUUCUCUUUCCUUGGAUACCUUUCUAUCCCCUGCCCCUCUCUCUGUCUUCGUCUGCACAUAUCUAUAUCUCAGUUUUGAGGCAGACUUACACGCUCCAACUUAGUCGUCAUCACUCGCACUUACCUCAUUUUCACACGCACACAUACACUGCAGUAUAUCUGUAAAUGCAUUAAUUCCACAUUCUCACUCCAAUGCCGCUUAGAGCCGACUCCCGAUCCCGGGCGCGAAUCCGCUCCGGGAUCCGUACCACUCGCCGUCGUUCCCCCUGUUACCGUCAUCCUGACGAACCCAUCACAGGAAUCUGCGCCUCAUGCCUCCGCGAGCGGCUAUCUGGUCUUGACGCUUCUUCCGCCAUGAAUGUCGCGUCGCCUGAGCUCCGCAGGUGCAGGUCAGUGGUUUCGUUUUCGAAAUGCGAAGCUUCUUCGAGUGCCUUGAACGAGCCGAGGCGUAGAUCCUGCGACGUCGUCGCAGGUCGGAGUUCGCUUUCUAAUCUUUUCGAUGCAGACGAUGUAAGGAGUGGAUCCGAAAGUGAGGCGAAGGUCGAGUCGAAGAAUGUGGGGCUGUCGAGAGUCACUUACACUGUGGUCGAAUCGAAGAAAAAUCACGACGAGAGUAGGGUUUUGAGUAACAAAUUGGGGGAAAUGAAUAUGGAUUGUGUAGACAGUGAUGCGGAAUUUGAAGAUGGAGACUUUAAGACUAUGAAAGAAUAUAUAGAUCUUGAAUUUCAGAAUAAGAUAAAGAAAUCUAAAGAUCUGAAAGAAAUCGCUGGGAGUUUCUUUGGGGCGGCUUCACUUUUCAGUAAGAAAUUGCGGAAGUGGAGGCAAAAGAAUGAUAAGAAAAAGAAGGUCAAUAAUAGCAGCAAAGGCAAGAGCGUGGCCGGCGACAAUGGGACUCUUAAGUUGUUUCAGGAUGAGAGAGAAUUGGGGGAAAAUCAUUCUGAGACUGUGGGGAGAAGAUCGUGUGAUACGGAACCCAGGUAUUCGGUUGAUGCUUGUCGGAUUUCAUUUGAGGAGCCGAGGGCUUCCUGGGAUGGGUAUAUGAUAGCAAGGACAAUUCCGAGGCUUGCUCCAAUGUUUUCUGUUGUUGAGAAUGGCAUUUUGGGGAAUAUGAAUAGGUUUGAGAAUCAUAGGUUGUCAGUUGAUGGGCCGAUGCAUUCAAUAGUAGAGGACGAGAGUAGCUCUGGGGCUUCAGGUUCAGGCAACUCAAACUCAGAUUCCUCCUCUUCCAUGAGGGGAAGUAGCUUUGACCGGUCAAGCUCUGUUCGGAGUUUUGGGAAGAAAGUGAUCAGUUUGGAUGAUCGUGGAGCAUCUCCUGCGAAUGUUAAAUUGGUGAUUACAGAAAAGGAGUUGAAAGAUUGGCAUUUGAGUUCUAGCCGGGACGAGGGUUUGGAAAAGUUUGGAUCCAUAACUAGAAACGCCGCUGCUAUUGAAGAUGUUGGUAACUUGAGUAUGCAGGCGAAAAAGUCUGUUAGAUGGCGUAGAGUUUGUAAUGUGUUUGGUUUCAGACACAAGAAUAGUGAGAAUGUCUGUGAGACCUUUGCAGGAAAUAUAAUGGACCAUUUUAUUGAUGAAGCCAGUGACAAGCCAGGGACGGAGGCUGGUGAACAUGUAAGAGAUGGUGGUUGGAAGCUUACACGCAGCAGUAGUGUUGUUGGUUCCAGAAAUUCAUGUGAUGUCACAGGAUUAAAUCCUAGGAGGAGUGUUGAUAAUGCAGGUGGAUAUGCUUACAUGGGGAGGGAGGAUUUUAAGCUGGAAAGAAACAUGAGUGCUAAACAUUCUUCUGCUGACCUCGACAGUGGGGUAACACCUUUCUACAUGACACCAUUGAGGAGCCUGAGGAAUAGUAAGUCUGGAAAAUUCAAGCUACAGAAUUCACACUCUGUUGCUGGGCAUGUUUUGCAAUUAAACUGACUGAAGGUAGACAAAUUGUUCUUGGCAAGAACAUCAACUUGUGAACCAUAUGGAUGUUACCUUCCUCUUAUGCAACAAAUGGCCUCUCGUUCUUCUUCUGCUAGGAAAAGCGUAGUUUACUGCACAUGUGCAGGAGGUUUUGGAUUGACAAGAAAUAUAGAGAGAAAGAAGUGUCGUUAUAACCUACUAGAGGCUGCAUAUACCUUGUAUUCUGCCAAAUAUUGUUAAGAUUCUAGCAGAUAGACAGUUGAGUUUAGAGCAUUUGGUUUAAGCUAGCUUGUGUGUCUGCUUGGGGAUCAAGUUUGCCGCUUGUGAGUUGGCAUUGGACUGCAGCUUGCCUUAGUUCAUGUAAGUUUAAGGAUAGCCAUCAUCUUAUAAUCUUGGACAUAUUACACCAUUUGUGGCAUGGCAGAUAAAGAUUAAAUUCAGCCUAUUAAAUGUUGUACAAUUUCUGCUGCAAUCGAUAAAAG